AUACGGAGGGUGCAAGCGUUAAUCGGAAUUACUGGGCGUAAAGCGUGCGUAGGUGGUCUGUUAAGUCAGGUGUGAAAGCCCUGGGCGCAACCUAGGAACUGCAUUCGAUACUGGCAGACUAGAGUGUGGUAGAGGGUAGUGGAAUUCCCGGUGUAGCGGUGAAAUGCGUAGAUAUCGGGAGGAACAUCAGUGGCGAAGGCGGCUACCUGGACCAACACUGACACUGAGGUACGAAAGCGUGGGGAGCAAACAGAAUUAGAAACCCCAGUAGUCC
rnacentral:rRNA from 1 species